rnacentral:rRNA from 2 species
GGGGGAUAUUGCGCAAUGGGGGCAACCCUGACGCAGCAACGCCGCGUGAAGGAUGAAGGUUUUCGGAUUGUAAACUUCUUUUAUUAAGGACGAAAAAUGACGGUACUUAAUGAAUAAGCUCCGGCUAACUACGUGCCAGCAGCCGCGGUAAUACGUAGGGAGCAAGCGUUGUCCGGAUUUACUGGGUGUAAAGGGUGCGUAGGCGGCUUUGCAAGUCAGAUGUGAAAUCUAUGGGCUCAACCCAUAAACUGCAUUUGAAACUGUAGAGCUUGAGUGAAGUAGAGGCAGGCGGAAUUCCCCGUGUAGCGGUGAAAUGCGUAGAGAUGGGGAGGAACACCAGUGGCGAAGGCGGCCUGCUGGGCUUUAACUGACGCUGAGGCACGAAAGCGUGGGUAGCAAACAGGAUUAGAUACCCUGGUAGUCCACGCUGUAAACGAUGAAUACUAGGUGUGCGGGGACUGACCCCCUGCGUGCCGCAGCUAACGCAAUAAGUAUUCCACCUGGGGAGUACGAUCGCAAGGUUGAAACUCAAAGGAAUUGACGGGGGCCCGCACAAGCGGUGGAUUAUGUGGUUUAAUUCGAAGCAACGCGAAGAACCUUACCAGGGCUUGACAUCCUACUAACGAGAUAGAGAUAUGUUAGGUGCCCUUCGGGGAAAGUAGAGACAGGUGGUGCAUGGUUGUCGUCAGCUCGUGUCGUGAGAUGUUGGGUUAAGUCCCGCAACGAGCGCAACCCCUAUUGUUAGUUGCUACGCAAGAGCACUCUAGCGAGACUGCCGUUGACAAAACGGAGGAAGGUGGGGACGACGUCAAAUCAUCAUGCCCCUUAUGUCCUGGGCUACACACGUAAUACAAUGGCGGUCAACAGAGGGAUGCAAAACCGUGAGGUGGAGCGAACCCCUAAAAGCCGUCCCAGUUCAGAUCGUGGGCUGCAACCCGCCCACGUGAAGUCGGAAUCGCUAGUAAUCGCGGAUCAGCAUGCCGCGGUGAAUACGUUCCCG